GGUAUAAAACAAAUACAAAGGCUGUCAAAGGAAAAUUGCUAAAAUAGAACGAAAUCAUUGUCGAGCGGGGCAAAAUUAGGAAGGGUACAUGAAGAAAACAACAAAAACAAGCCACACAACAAACACGUUUAGACAAAACAGCAGAAAAAGCAAACCGCUAAGGUGACUAACAAACAGAGUCACCAACAAACCACCAAACAAGCAACACGCGGCGGCUGAAAACCGCGACGCCUGCGCGUCGGUUAAGCGCGAGAAAUAGAGACGAAAAGAGGCCAACAAUACCACCGCAAUGGAAGCAGGGUCUCUUAAGGCACGACAGCAACGCAAAGAUGGGUGCAAAAGCGGGUGUCAGACGGCGUGUACAUAGAAUUGUGGGCAAAUGCGCGACAAUCUGUAACGAAGACAAUAACGACGACAGCAACAAAACAGCGUAAAAGUACAAAAGAAGGCAAUGAGACCACAAUGAUGAAGCUGAUGAUUAAGAUGAGGAGUGUGACGAGUAAUCUACUCAUGACAAUUGCGAUGAUCAUGAUGCUGAUGAUGACGAUGGUCGCAGCGCAGCAGCGUUUCAAGCACAACAACUGCAGGCAAUUUUCAAGUGAUUAGUCAUCAACGCCGCAACUUUCUACGAGACAACGCCAACAAGAAGGCAAACAAACAAAACAAAAAAAAAACAAGUAAACAAGUCCAACAAGACUCCGCCGAGGCAUACAAACACACCUCAAUGCCUGAAAAGCACUAACAAUUGGAAAAUAAAAGCAAUAAAAAAAACACAGAUCCAAGAAAAAUACGCGAUGAGACUUUCGUAGCGACCGAUCCGUCGACCUGCGGCACCGACCAAUCAAAAGGUAAGCGCACAAACAGAAAGUGGCAACCAAAGUAGCACUGAAGCUCCCAAGUGCAAGAAGUGAGGUUUCAAGAAAACCUGCCGGAUGGGCAAAUACAGGCCGGCGUGUAGACGUGUCGACGAACGAAAGAACGAACGUUGUUAAGAAGGCUAGUCAAGUUGUAGGCCGGACCUGACGCUUGGCUGGCUAUAGCAUCAUGGUCACAUAGUGAGACGAGAUGGUUUCGCUUCAUCAAUAACCGAGCAGUAAAAUAUUGAACUAAAUAAAUAUAAGAGCAGUCAGUAAAUAGAAAAAAGGAAAAUAUCAAAUUCGUGGAAUAUAAAUAGAAGACGAGUCGCAGCGCCGCGUCAGUAUUUAGCAAUGGAGGCAGAGCAAAAAAUUACGGUUUCGUUGUGGCUGAACGGACUUUAUUUUCAUGAAGGCUAUCGGUCUACAAUAAGAUUUAUAGAGUCAUUAAAUAUAGUCGGUCAGAAGAGAAUCCAAGAAUCCCAUAAAUAAAACUAAAUUAUGAUUUUUCUCAUGGAAAUAUGUUUGGAAGGAAGGUCCGCAAUAUUCGUAGAAUGUAAGGGAUGAGACGUCCAAAGUUUUGUAUAUUACUGAUCCAAACAGGUCAAUUCUGGUAACCUAGAGCUUGCUGACGUGGGAAUUGAUUUGUAGUGCUAUACUCCUAAUUGAUAUUACUUUAAGUGCUGCAAGGAUGGUAAAUCGCUUUAGAUAGGCUUUUUGUAUAUGCAAGUCCACUAAUCCGCUUAACUUCUAAGUGACCUGGAUGUAGUAAAGUGUAGUUAGGACAUAAAAUCUCUCUCUGGAGGAGCGGUAUAUGGAAUAGGAAAUAAAGGUAAAAGGCAAAAUCUUUUUUCUUUUCUGAAUCUUUUCUCGAGUCUCUUCUAACUUCAAUAGAAGCAUACUGAUUUGACGCCGGCUUAGUUUCCGUUCUGUCAAGAGAUAGAUCUCUUUGGUCAAAAUUCUUGUUUUUGUAGUGAGAGACAAAGAUGAGAGAACAUAGCGAAGCAUCC